ACGCUGGCGGCGUGCUUAACACAUGCAAGUCGAACGGGAUCCAUCAGGCUUUGCUUGGUGGUGAGAGUGGCGAACGGGUGAGUAAUGCGUGACCGACCUGCCCCAUACACCGGAAUAGCUCCUGGAAACGGGUGGUAAUGCCGGAUGCUCCGACUCCUCGCAUGGGGUGUCGGGAAAGAUUUCAUCGGUAUGGGAUGGGGUCGCGUCCUAUCAGGUAGUCGGCGGGGUAACGGCCCACCGAGCCUACGACGGGUAGCCGGCCUGAGAGGGCGACCGGCCACAUUGGGACUGAGAUACGGCCCAGACUCCUACGGGAGGCAGCAGUGGGGAAUAUUGCACAAUGGGCGCAAGCCUGAUGCAGCGACGCCGCGUGCGGGAUGACGGCCUUCGGGUUGUAAACCGCUUUUGAUCGGGAGCAAGCCUUCGGGUGAGUGUACCUUUCGAAUAAGCACCGGCUAACUACGUGCCAGCAGCCGCGGUAAUACGUAGGGUGCAAGCGUUAUCCGGAAUUAUUGGGCGUAAAGGGCUCGUAGGCGGUUCGUCGCGUCCGGUGUGAAAGUCCAUCGCUUAACGGUGGAUCUGCGCCGGGUACGGGCGGGCUGGAGUGCGGUAGGGGAGACUGGAAUUCCCGGUGUAACGGUGGAAUGUGUAGAUAUCGGGAAGAACACCAAUGGCGAAGGCAGGUCUCUGGGCCGUUACUGACGCUGAGGAGCGAAAGCGUGCGGGAGCGAACAGGAUUAGAUACCCCUGGUAGUCCACGCCGUAAACGGUGGAUGCUGGAUGUGGGGCCCGUUCCACGGGUUCCGUGUCGGAGCUAACGCGUUAAGCAUCCCGCCUGGGGAGUACGGCCGCAAGGCUAAAACUCAAAGAAAUUGACGGGGGCCCGCACAAGCGGCGGAGCAUGCGGAUUAAUUCGAUGCAACGCGAAGAACCUUACCUGGGCUUGACAUGUUCCCGACAGCCGUAGAGAUAUGGCCUCCCUUCGGGGCGGGUUCACAGGUGGUGCAUGGUCGUCGUCAGCUCGUGUCGUGAGAUGUUGGGUUAAGUCCCGCAACGAGCGCAACCCUCGCCCUGUGUUGCCAGCACGUCAUGGUGGGAACUCACGGGGGACCGCCGGGGUCAACUCGGAGGAAGGUGGGGAUGACGUCAGAUCAUCAUGCCCCUUACGUCCAGGGCUUCACGCAUGCUACAAUGGCCGGUACAACGGGAUGCGACACGGCGACGUGGAGCGGAUCCCUGAAAACCGGUCUCAGUUCGGAUUGGAGUCUGCAACCCGACUCCAUGAAGGCGGAGUCGCUAGUAAUCGCGGAUCAGCAACGCCGCGGUGAAUGCGUUCCCGGGCCUUGUACACACCGCCCGUCAAGUCAUGAAAGUGGGUAGCACCCGAAGCCGGUGGCCUAACCCUUUGUGGAUGGAGCCGUCUAAGGUGAGACUCGUGAUUGGG
rnacentral:rRNA from 1 species